rnacentral:rRNA from 1 species
CACGGGGGGAGCAAGCGUUGUUCGGAAUCACUGGGCGUAAAGGGCGCGUAGGCGGCCUGCUAAGUCGGAUGUGAAAUCCCCGAGCUCAACUCGGGAACUGCGUCCGAUACUGGCAGGCUUGAAUCCGGGAGAGGGAUGCGGAAUUCCAGGUGUAGCGGUGAAAUGCGUAGAUAUCUGGAGGAACACCGGUGGCGAAGGCGGCAUCCUGGACCGGCAUUGACGCUGAGGCGCGAAAGCCAGGGGAGCAAACGGG